ensembl:lncRNA
UUAAAAUGUAUUAUUUAAUUUACUGUUUGAGCUAAAAAUUCAUGUUGCUAAAUAUAUGCAUUAUAUUACACAUUUAUUAUGUUUUUACUUAACCUGUUGUAAAAACCUUUUAUUAUUAUUAUUAUUAUUAUUAUUAUUAUUACAGCCAAUGUUCGACAUUAAACUUCCUUUCCUUUCCUUUCCUUUCCUUUCCUUUCCUUUCCUUUCCUUUCCUUUCCUUUCCUUUCCUUUCCUUUCCUUUCCUUUCCUUUCCUUUCCUUUCCUUUCCUUUCCUUUCCUUUCCUUUCCUUUCCUUUCCUUUCCUUUCCUUUCCUUUCCUUUCCUUUCCUUUCCUUUCCUUUCCUUUCCUUUCCUUUCCUUUCCUUUCCUUUCCUUUCCUUUCCUUUCCUUUCCUUUCCUUUCCUUUCCUUUCCUUUCCUUUCCUUUCCUUUCCUUUCCUUUCCUUUCCUUUCCUUUCCUUUCCUUUCCUUUCCUUUCCUUUCCUUUCCUUUCCUUUCCUUUCCUUUCCUUUCCUUUCCUUUCCUUUCCUUUCCUUUCCUUUCCUUUCCUUUCCUUUCCUUUCCUUUCCUUUCCUUUCCUUUCCUUUCCUUUCCUUUCCUUUCCUUUCCUUUCCUUUCCUUUCCUUUCCUUUCCUUUCCUUUCCUUUCCUUUCCUUUCCUUUCCUUUCCUUUCCUUUCCUUUCCUUUCCUUUCCUUUCCUUUCCUUUCCUUUCCUUUCCUUUCCUUUCCUUUCCUUUCCUUUCCUUUCCUUUCCUUUCCUUUCCUUUCCUUUCCUUUCCUUUCCUUUCCUUUCCUUUCCUUUCCUUUCCUUUCCUUUCCUUUCCUUUCCUUUCCUUUCCUUUCCUUUCCUUUCCUUUCCUUUCCUUUCCUUUCCUUUCCUUUCCUUUCCUUUCCUUUCCUUUCCUUUCCUUUCCUUUCCUUUCCUUUCCUUUCCUUUCCUUUCCUUUCCUUUCCUUUCCUUUCCUUUCCUUUCCUUUCCUUUCCUUUCCUUUCCUUUCCUUUCCUUUCCUUUCCUUUCCUUUCCUUUCCUUUCCUUUCCUUUCCUUUCCUUUCCUUUCCUUUCCUUUCCUUUCCUUUCCUUUCCUUUCCUUUCCUUUCCUUUCCUUUCCUUUCCUUUCCUUUCCUUUCCUUUCCUUUCCUUUCCUUUCCUUUCCUUUCCUUUCCUUUCCUUUCCUUUCCUUUCCUUUCCUUUCCUUUCCUUUCCUUUCCUUUCCUUUCCUUUCCUUUCCUUUCCUUUCCUUUCCUUUCCUUUCCUUUCCUUUCCUUUCCUUUCCUUUCCUUUCCUUUCCUUUCCUUUCCUUUCCUUUCCUUUCCUUUCCUUUCCUUUCCUUUCCUUUCCUUUCCUUUCCUUUCCUUUCCUUUCCUUUCCUUUCCUUUCCUUUCCUUUCCUUUCCUUUCCUUUCCUUUCCUUUCCUUUCCUUUCCUUUCCUUUCCUUUCCUUUCCUUUCCUUUCCUUUCCUUUCCUUUCCUUUCCUUUCCUUUCCUUUCCUUUCCUUUCCUUUCCUUUCCUUUCCUUUCCUUUCCUUUCCUUUCCUUUCCUUUCCUUUCCUUUCCUUUCCUUUCCUUUCCUUUCCUUUCCUUUCCUUUCCUUUCCUUUCCUUUCCUUUCCUUUCCUUUCCUUUCCUUUCCUUUCCUUUCCUUUCCUUUCCUUUCCUUUCCUUUCCUUUCCUUUCCUUUCCUUUCCUUUCCUUUCCUUUCCUUUCCUUUCCUUUCCUUUCCUUUCCUUUCCUUUCCUUUCCUUUCCUUUCCUUUCCUUUCCUUUCCUUUCCUUUCCUUUCCUUUCCUUUCCUUUCCUUUCCUUUCCUUUCCUUUCCUUUCCUUUCCUUUCCUUUCCUUUCCUUUCCUUUCCUUUCCUUUCCUUUCCUUUCCUUUCCUUUCCUUUCCUUUCCUUUCCUUUCCUUUCCUUUCCUUUCCUUUCCUUUCCUUUCCUUUCCUUUCCUUUCCUUUCCUUUCCUUUCCUUUCCUUUCCUUUCCUUUCCUUUCCUUUCCUUUCCUUUCCUUUCCUUUCCUUUCCUUUCCUUUCCUUUCCUUUCCUUUCCUUUCCUUUCCUUUCCUUUCCUUUCCUUUCCUUUCCUUUCCUUUCCUUUCCUUUCCUUUCCUUUCCUUUCCUUUCCUUUCCUUUCCUUUCCUUUCCUUUCCUUUCCUUUCCUUUCCUUUCCUUUCCUUUCCUUUCCUUUCCUUUCCUUUCCUUUCCUUUCCUUUCCUUUCCUUUCCUUUCCUUUCCUUUCCUUUCCUUUCCUUUCCUUUCCUUUCCUUUCCUUUCCUUUCCUUUCCUUUCCUUUCCUUUCCUUUCCUUUCCUUUCCUUUCCUUUCCUUUCCUUUCCUUUCCUUUCCUUUCCUUUCCUUUCCUUUCCUUUCCUUUCCUUUCCUUUCCUUUCCUUUCCUUUCCUUUCCUUUCCUUUCCUUUCCUUUCCUUUCCUUUCCUUUCCUUUCCUUUCCUUUCCUUUCCUUUCCUUUCCUUUCCUUUCCUUUCCUUUCCUUUCCUUUCCUUUCCUUUCCUUUCCUUUCCUUUCCUUUCCUUUCCUUUCCUUUCCUUUCCUUUCCUUUCCUUUCCUUUCCUUUCCUUUCCUUUCCUUUCCUUUCCUUUCCUUUCCUUUCCUUUCCUUUCCUUUCCUUUCCUUUCCUUUCCUUUCCUUUCCUUUCCUUUCCUUUCCUUUCCUUUCCUUUCCUUUCCUUUCCUUUCCUUUCCUUUCCUUUCCUUUCCUUUCCUUUCCUUUCCUUUCCUUUCCUUUCCUUUCCUUUCCUUUCCUUUCCUUUCCUUUCCUUUCCUUUCCUUUCCUUUCCUUUCCUUUCCUUUCCUUUCCUUUCCUUUCCUUUCCUUUCCUUUCCUUUCCUUUCAGGCCCUCAAAACACCACUGUGGUGUAAAUGAACAAAAAGCAUACAAACUGUUUUGUUU